GUGGCUGAGUGCCCUGGGCAAGCCACUUUCCCUCUGCGAGCCGGGUCUCAGGAUGGCUGGGCGGGUGCUGCCGGUGGGAAGCCCCGCGGGGGGCUUGGUCCACUCCCGCUAAGCUGUCGCCGCCACCACCAGGCCCUGUUUCUGGGGGCCUUGCCAAGCUUCCCUGGGGAUCAGGUUUCUGCUGACGGCCUGCCAGGCACGUCUGCUUCCAGGAACCGGAGCCGCAUUUAGCCGCGGGCCGCACAUGAAAGGGCUGCAGUGGGAAACGUGACGUGUGUCCACAGGCGAGGCGGGUCAGCGCCGGGUGAGACCCUCCCGGCGGCCCGCGGCCCGCCUGUCUGCGCCGCUACCCCCCCACCCCGCAGCCAAGGCCCUGGGUCUCCAGGGGGCGUGGCACAAGGUGGGGAGGAAGGGGCUCCCCCCACACCCCCGCACGGAGCUGCGGGCCAGGUCAAGGGCAACGUGGAAGCCCAGGGGGCAGAGAGACAGCUGUGAGGCUGGGGCGCUGGACAAGGGAGGGCUCAGCAGGGGCACUCCUGGCGGCCAGCGCCUGGAACCUUGCUGUCUUUUUUUAGCUCAGGUUGCUCCAACCACUUCCUCUGUCCCCACAACCCUCCUGGACUCACAGCCCAUGAGGGAGUUUGGCCUUGAUUUCAACAUCAGCCUCCCUCACCCGGGAGGAACCUGCCUCGUCUGGGCUCUUAUCAAAGGCGCUCCUGGAGGCAGGAGGCGGGACUCCGGCCACCUGCCUGACCCUGUCUGGUGGAGAGGGCUGACCGCCUGGCCUGACACCUGCCUGGGCUCGGGGCACAAUGAUACCUUCGCAUGAGCACCUGUGGGGAGCCUCUGACAUAGGAAGCAAUGGUGUCCAGGGCCAGAUGGUGCUGAGUCUCUGGGGGCCGCAGACUUCCAGACGGGUCUGGAAGAGGGAGACCCCACUCUGCAGGCUGCAGCAGUAAGAACACUUGACUAGGGAAUGCCAGUAUUCAUCCACGCACAGUCCCCCAAGGAGAGGAAGUCUCGGAAGGAUGCGGAAAUUUCGGAACGCCUCCAGCAGCGACAGGACAGGAUGUGGCGGAUCCCUCAGACCUGCCAGGCGGGAAGAGCUGGAGUUCCCGGCGGAUGCGCCGACUGGCCCCCGCGAUCCCACACAGCCACCCCCUCGACCUGCCCACCACGGCCAGCCCCGCCGGCAAGCUGCCCACACACUCUGUGAUGGCAUCCCCUGGUUUCCCACCCAGCCCUCAAGGCCGUAACGGGAGCUGGCUGGGGGAAAAGCACUUGCUGAUUAACUGUGGGGCGACGUACGGGGUGAGCACAAACUGCUGGCAUGCGUAAAUUGACAAACACGAGAGCAGCCGUCACCUACCGAGCUGACCAGGCUUACAAGGCCGUGAAAAGGUGAACGAAAUCACACCGGGACACAUGCCACAGACCAUCUCUCUCCCCCACGGGAAAGGACUGUUUUAUUCAGUAUUUUUAAAGACUACUUAACGUUUACGCAUAGAUAAAAAUAUUUACAAUUUCACACCUUUAGGAAGGCUUCAAAACAUAAACACUGUACCUCUCCCGAGAGAAAGAAAAAUUCUUCUCUUCAAAAAACAGGAACACAUUCAUUUUUCUCACUUUCUAGAUCAAGUAAUUAUACAAAUAAACAUCUGAGACAUUUUCCUCUUUAAUAUAUUUAUAUAAUAUAUAUUUAUAACAGCUUUACAAAUAAAGGCAACUUUAUACCAAAAAUAAAAACAGGAAAAGAAA